AACGAACGCUGGCGGCAGGCCUAACACAUGCAAGUCGAACGCCCCGCAAGGGGAGUGGCAGACGGGUGAGUAACGCGUGGGAACAUACCCUUUUCUACGGAAUAGCUCUGGGAAACUGGAAUUAAUACCGUAUACGCCCUACGGGGGAAAGAUUUAUCGGGGAAGGAUUGGCCCGCGUUGGAUUAGCUAGUUGGUGGGGUAAAGGCCUACCAAGGCGACGAUCCAUAGCUGGUCUGAGAGGAUGAUCAGCCACAUUGGGACUGAGACACGGCCCAAACUCCUACGGGAGGCAGCAGUGGGGAAUAUUGGACAAUGGGCGCAAGCCUGAUCCAGCCAUGCCGCGUGAGUGAUGAAGGCCUUAGGGUUGUAAAGCUCUUUCACCGAUGAAGAUAAUGACGGUAGUCGGAGAAGAAGCCCCGGCUAACUUCGU
rnacentral:rRNA from 1 species